GGAGAGGUGUCCGAGUUGGUCGAAGGAGCCUGACUCGAAAUCAGGUAGGCUCGUAAGGGUCUCGUGGGUUCGAAUCCCACCCUCUCCG
rnacentral:tRNA from 1 species